GACGUAGGGGGCGAGCGUUGUCCGGAUUUAUUGGGCGUAAAGCGUGCGUAGGCGGCUGCGCAAGUCGGGUGUGAAACCCCGGGGCUCAACCCCGGAACUGCAUCCGAUACUGCGUGGCUAGAGGUAGGUAGGGGAGAUCGGAAUUCCUGGUGUAGCGGUGAAAUGCGCAGAUAUCAGGAGGAACACCGAUGGCGAAGGCAGGUCUCUGGGCCGAUACUGACGCUGAGGAGCGAAAGCGUGGGGAGCGAACAGG
rnacentral:rRNA from 1 species